UUAAUUUGUGUUUUUUAGGGUGUGUUUUUGUAAUGCACUAAAAUCCAGUUUGGGUUGUUAAUUCUUAGAGUGAAUCUCAGCUAGGUCCUUUUUCAAAUGUUCCAAACCCUUCUGCCCUUGUCCUUUUGAGACAGGGCCUUGCUAUGUAACCAGGCUUGCUUUGAACUUAGAUACUCUGCAUCAGCCUCCCUGGUGUUGGGAUUAGAAGUAUGCACUGUAGUGCUCAACAGCCCCUUUCCUUUUAUUUUUACUCCCUCUCCUAGAAAUUAGUGAAACUGAAUGCAGAGAAAAUUUACAUCUCUUUAUAGUGACUCAAAAUAUUAUUGGAAAAGUAAGUUUAUUAUACUCUGGAGGUAGUAGAAGGGUGCAUUUAGAGACUUUUUUGUGGGAGUGGGACUGGAGUUUGAAUGCAGAGGUUAGCACUUUCAGAGUAGGAGCUCUGCUACUCCAGCCACGCCUUCAGUCCAUUUUGCUGUGGUUAUUUUUGGAGAUGGGGUCUUGUGAACUAUUUUCCUGGGCUGGUCUCGAAUCACAGUCUUUCUGAUCUCAGCCUCCCAAAUAGCUAGGAUUAUAGGUGUGAGCCACCAGUGUCCCACAUCUAGAGAUUUUUUAAUUAUGUAGGAGAAUUUGUAUUAAUGGAUGAGGUUUUGGCACCUGUUUUCUUUUUGUGGUAUGGGGGUUUGAACUCAGGAUUUCACAGUUGCUAGACAGGUGCUCUAUUGCUUGAGUCAUUCCUCCAGUCCUUGCACCUGCUUUUUAUCUUUUUCUUUUUUCACUGUCAGUUCUUGGUCUAUUAGUGUGCCUGUCCUGCAGAACCUCCUUAAUUCUAAUAAUUUUCAUAUUGGAGAACGAGAUGAUCAAAUUUCUUCUAGUAACUACCAGUGAAGAGAUCCCAGAAGCAGUGGCUUCAGUUUUAGCAGGAAAUUCAGAUGCAUCUGAGAAUGGAGAGAAAGAACUUUAUUAUUGAGGAAGAGAUCUCCUUGGAGUCCACAUUAGCUUCAGUAAGAGCAUUUGAGAAAAGUUUUUCUUUAUUUCAGAUUUAUAUUUUUAUUUCUCAUAGUGGUACAAGAUGGUGGAAUGUGCUUAUCAUGUAGGAAUUGUGCCAGGGAGCAUUUUAUGAGUGAACCUCUACCACUGAGCUAUACCCCCAGCCCUCUGAAGAAAAAAUCUUAAGCAAAACUAAGCCUAGUUUUCCACUUCCACACUUACAGGUGCUAAAACUUGGUACAAACUGAAUCAUCUAGCAGAAAAACAUCAACAUUAUGCUGUGUAGUACAGUCCCAGCAUUGAGAUUUAGUACAUUUUUUAUUUCUUUGAAUAGUGCAUUAGAAAAUAGGAACCACCUGUGUAGAAGAUACAGCAGCUGAUCUGAGUAGAGGGUGUAUAAAACCUCCCAAGCUGGUCUAAUUUUAGGUGUCCUCAAGAGACCCAAGUUGCUUCAGAUGAGAGUCUUCUAAGAUCCCCCUGCUCCUUUAGCCACAAUCUAAACUAUUUCACUGGACUUCCAGGAAAAAUUCAUGCUAAUCUUUUAGUAAGUUUUUUUCAAAAUAAUUUUCAGCAGUACUAGGACAUCUGCAUAUCUACCUACAAAGGGGUGCUGCACCCCUUUCUUUGUCAUAUACAAAAAUUAAUUCAGUGGUUCAUACAACUAACUGUAAGAGCUAAAACUUUAAGUCUCUUGGAAAAUUUAGAAGUAGGCCCUAAUGAACUUGGUUAGGCAAAAUCUUCUUAGAUAUGAUGCCAAAAGCACAAAUGGCCAAAAAAUAUGUUGAACAUCAUCAAAAUUAAAAGUGUGCUUCAGAGUGUGGGAAUAUAACUCAGUGGUAUAAAGCUUGUCUAUCAUUGCUGAAGGCCCUAGUUUCAAUCCCAGCACUGCCAAAAAAAGAAAAAAUGUGUACUUCAAAGAACAUCAAGAAAGUGAAAAGAGGGCUGGGGAUGUGACUCAAGUGGU